rnacentral:lncRNA from 1 species
CCCGCAGGCGCUGGGUCUGCAGAUGGCGUCCAGGUACACAGUGGCGAGUGUGAUUCCGCAGUCUUGGGCUGUUUGGCCAAGCGCCCGCCGGACAUGGUACGCCGAAGGGUCAUCGGCGUGGAGUCCUCGCUUUCAGCGUCCGCGGCUGGGAAAUCGGCCAUCGCUACGGCGGGAACUGGGACUCGGGCUGCGUCCCGGCCCUUCCACAUCGGUCCACCGCACUCGUGGGCGCCCGCAUUGGUGCUGACAUAAUUUCCUGACCUCUGACCCGUAUUGUCUCGCGAUUAAAGGUCCAGAUUUGGAACAAAUCUCUCUAGAGAUUGAACAGAGCUGCGCCUGGAUCCCUCAGCAGUGAGGAGACCUGAAGACCAGAGGAAACACAGCAAGUCCAGGCACUCCCACUCCUCCUGAGAGAAAUCUACAGCCACAUCCCUGAACAUCAUCAACUGUUGGAAAGAAUAAUUCCAAGUAUUAAUGUGCUCUGCCAGAUUGGGACACAGGAGAUAACUGAAAGCCCUGGUGGAUAGAUUUGGUCAUACUGGUUGGAGAAAAGAGGGAUAUCUAGGGAAAGCAUUGGACUGUUUCACAGUCAUUACUUAUGACACUCAAUAGUGAUUCAGGGGCUCACCAGAGAAGACAGGGCAAGGUGAGGGGGAUCUCCUAGCAGAGGAAACAACAUGCGCCAAUCAAGCAAAGAUAUUUUUGUGCAUUCAAGGAACACAGAGAGGAAAGACAGUGGCAGAUGGAGACGUAUAAAGCAGGGAUCCUGUUAUGAAAAGCCCUAAAAAAUAGGGUAUAGAGUUUGGGCCAUAUUUCAGAGGUAAUAAGAAAGCAUUCUGCAUUUUUAAAGUAAGGUUUAAAAAUGUUUCUAAUUAGAGAUACAGCAAAGUUGGUGUGAGAGGAUAAAGACUGAUAUACAUAAUCUGAGGAGUUCAUGAAAAUUCCAUGUAAAGCCUGUAGUAUGAAUUGGUCCUAGGAGACAGACAGCUUCAGGGGCAUAGAGAACUUUAAGCACUUUUCCAAGAAGAGUGAAGGGCUGGAGAAUAAAUUGUGAACUAAAAUAUAUUUUGUGUUUGAGAACAUGAAGUACUUGAGAGUGAUUAUUACACGGUUUUAAGAAAAAACUAGUUCUUUUAAAUAAAACUUUUUUUUAGCUGAGCACAGUGGCUCACGCCUGUAAUCCCAGCACUUUGGGAGGCCGAGGCAGGCGGAUCACCUGAGGUCGGGAGUUCGAGAUCAGCCUGACCAACAUGGACAAACCUCGUCUUAAUUAAAAAUAUAAAAUUAGCCGGGCAUGGUGGCACAUGCCUGUAAUCCCAGCUACUCAGGAGGCUGAGGCAGGAGAACUGCUUGAACCUGGGAGGCGGAGGUUGCGGUGAGCUGAGAUCGUGCCAUUGCACUCCAGCCUGGGCAACAAGAGCAAAACCCCUUCUCAAAAAAAAAAAAAAGGAAAAAAAAAUUUUUAGGGACAGUGUCUCAAACUGUCAGUCAUGCUGGAGUAGAGUGGUGCAAUCACAGUUUACUGUUGCCUCAAACUGCUAGGCUGAAGCGAUCCUUCCACCUCAGUCUGCUGAAUAGGGUGGGACUACAGGAAUGCACCACUGUGCCUGGCUAAUUUAUUUUAUUUUUGUCGAGACGGGGUCCGCUAUGUUGCCCAGGCUGUUCUCAAACUCCUGGCCUCAAGAAAUACUUUCCCACCUUGGCCUCCCAAAGUGCUGGAAUUACAGGUGUAGGCCACCAUGUCCAGCCAAAAACUAAUUCUAAUCCUGAUAUUCCUCCUCCUGGAAACCAUGUAGACAGAAACAAGAAAAUCAAAGUAAAUCCCAACCAUCAGGAAACAGAAAAUGAACAGAUUCCAAAUUAUUUGGAGAUGUGAAAAGAAAAUGAAAGAACAAUGUCUGUGGAAGCCACAGUGAUGCUACAAAGAAAAACAAAUGAGGAAUAUCCAUUCCCAUGGGGAGUAGACCAUAUCCUGAAUGAAAGUUUCUGUGAGCAGGAAUGAUGUCAAAAGGAGGUGGUAAAAGGAGGCCCGAAGAUGUCAGGGGGAUUCAAGGUGGCAAAACACAUUGGUUGUAUUUUUUUUUUAAAGCUUUAUUGAAAUAUAAUUCACAUACCAUACAAUUAAGCCAUUUACAGUGAACAAUUCAAUGGUUCUUAGUAUAUUCACAAAUACGUGCAACCACAGUCAAUGUUAGAAUAUUUUCAUCAUUUCGAAAAGAAACUCUAACCCUUUGGCUAUCACUCCUUGGCUUCCCCACUGCCACAUGUGCCCCAUACUUAGCCUCAAAUAAUGACUAAUCUACUUUCUGACUCUAUGGAUUUUCCUAUUCUGGACUUUCAUAUGAAUGGAAUAACAUAUGUGGACUUGUUACUGGCUUCUUUCACGUAGCAUAAGGUUCUCAAGGUUUAUCCAAAUUGUAGCAUGAAUCAGUACUUCAUUCCUUGCUAUGCCUGAAUAAUAUCUCUGCAAAUGAAUAGACCACCUUUUGUCUACCCAUUCGUCUAUUAAUGGACAUUUGGGUUGUUUCCACCUUUUGACAAUUACUAUUAUUUUUGAGAUGAAGUUUCGCUCUUGUUGCCCAGGCUGGAGUGCAAUGGCACGAUCUCGACUCACCACAACCUCCACCUCUGGGGUUCAAGUGACUCUCCUGCCUCAGCCUCCCGAGUAGCUGGGAUUACAGGCAUGUACCACUAUGCCCAGCUAAUUUUGUAUUUUUAGUAGAGACGGGGUUUCUUCAUGUUGGUCAGGCUAGUCUCAAAUUCCCGACCUCAGGUGAUCCGCCCGCCUCGGCCUCCCAAAGUGCUGGGAUUACAGGCCUGAGCUACCAUGCCCGGCUGACAAUUAUUUUUAAAAUGCUGCAAUGAACAUUCAUGUAAAAGUUUUUGUUUGAAUAUCAUCUAUUUUGUAGUUUUCAGAGUAUAAGUUUUAUUUUCUAUAUAGAAAAUCAUGCCAUCUGCAAAUAGAGAUGCUCUUAGCUGUGUUCCGUUCUUUUCUCCAGUGUCUUUUAUUUCUUUUACUUCCCCAUUUGCCCUAGCCCAAUUGCCAGUACAAUGUUAAACAGAAGUGGGGAUCCUUGUCUGGUCCCUGAUCUUAGAGGGAAGACAUCCAGUCUUUUACCAUUAAGUGUGAUGUUGGCUGUGGGUUUUUCCUAGAUAUCAGGUUGAAUUCCUCUUUAUUCCUAGUUUGUAGAAUGUGUAUGUUUUAAAAAAAAUCAUAAAGGGUAUUGGCUCUGGUCAAAUGCCUUAUCUCUAUCUAUUGAGAUGAUUGUGUGAUUUUUGUUUUUUUAUUCUAUUGAUAUGAUGUAUCACAUUAACUGACUUUUGAUGGUGAGCCAACCUUGCAUUUCUGGGAUAAAUCCCACUCAGUCAUGUUAUAUAAUUCAUUUUAGAUGUUACUGGAUUUGGUUUGCUACUACUUGUUGAGGAUUUUUACACCCAUAUUCUUAUGAGAUAUACUUUGUCUCGUUUCAGUAUCUGGGAAAUACUGGCCUCAUAAAAUGAGCUGGGGACUUGGCUGUAUUCCUUAAUUAUAGUAGAAGACACUGGGUGAACUCAGAGCUGAUAAUAGGAGUCCUCCUGAACCAGUUGAGCUUCUGAAUGGUAAAGAAGGCCUGGCUAUUCAAAGGGAACCAAAUUUUAAAAAAAUUGUCUUCUACUGGGGUAACAGAGGAAGAAACCCUUGAGCAAAAAAACCUUAAAAACUACCCUUGCCCCAUUCACUUUUUUCACAUGAAAAUACCAGUGACAGCUAUUCCAGGAAAAUCUAUUACAUCCUCUCCAAAAUAUAAAUUAGAUAUAACAUGCGUAAGAUAGUUAGAUAAAAGUUUUAGGCUGGUGCAGUGGCUCACGCCUGUAAUCCCAGCACUUUGGGAGGCCAAAGCGGGCGGAUCACGAGGUCAGGAGAUCGAGACCAUCCUGGCUAACAUGGUGAAACCCUGUCUCUACUAAAAAUACAAAAAAUUAGCCAGGUGUGGUGGCAUGUGCCUGUAGUGCCAGCUACUUGGGAGGCUGAGGCAGGAGAAUCACUUGAACCUGGGAGGCAGAGGUUCCAGUGAGCCAAGAUCACGCCACUGCACUUCAGCCUAGCAACAGAGCAAGACUCCAUCUCAAAACAACAACAACAACAACAACAAAAAACACACAAAGUUUUAAAAGUGUGUCAAAAUCCCCCAUGUACAAAAAAACUCACUAAAAAAAUCAGAGAAGAUGAAAAUCAUCACCCAACAUUUCAGUCUGAAUUAAAAAAAAAGUAUGAUGCAAUUGCAGCUCUAAAAGCAGACCACAAGCAAAAAUAUACGAUCUCAGGAGAGAGAAGAAAGUAAUAGAUAGACCAUAGAUGGGAGUUAGUGGAAUUCAAGACUGAAAGAGAAAAUAGGCUAAGUCACAUCAGAAAUGAAGAAUAAACUAGCUAGUGCAGCGGCAUGUGCCUGUGGUCCCAGCUACUUGGGAGACUGAGUCUAGAAGAUUGCUUGAGUCCAGGAGUUCAAGGUUGAGGCCAGCCUGGGCAACACAGUGAGACCCCCAUCUCUAGGCGCAUAAGAUCUGACAAAUGCCACAGAAAGUAUAGUAUGGAACACAGAAUACAGAAAUUAAUGAACAGAACAAAAUUUAACAAAGAAACAAAAAUCAUUUGAAGAAAUGAAAAUGAAAAGAGAGAUCCAAUAUGCAAAACGCAGAGCACCUAAAAAUGAAAUCCAAAUUAAGAGGAUAUAUCUAAAACGAUGGUUGUAGCUGUGUAUCUAACACUACAGUUUUAAUACUCAAGAUGAAUUUCCUGAAAUAGAGUAUAAAUAAACGUGAUGAAAAGUGAAACCAUAUUACAGGUGAAAAUGAACCAAAAUAGUAGCAAAACAUGACCUAAUAAAAUUAGACUAAAACUCAUGGGGAAUCAAGAUAAAAAUAUCAAAUAUAAGAAAAAGGAAAUUCAAUUGUCAUCAGACUUCUGCAGUGCUAAAUUCAGUACCCCAAACAGUGGGGUAAAUCUUCCAAUAUACUUGUGAAAAAAACAAAUGAGGGAGUCAAAACAUUUUUAUAUCCAGCCAAGCUGUCAUUCGAGUAUAAAGGAUAUAAGGAGUUUUAUGAUGCAACUUAGGAAAUACUGUUGACAUGCGCUGUUUCAGAAGAAGCUACUAGAAGACAUACUCCAGCCACAAAAGAACAAUAGUGAAAGUUUCAGCAAAAGAAUAGUAGUGAUGCUGAACAUAUUUAAAUGCAAAUCUAAAUAAAAUAGUAAAAGCGGAAUUAUGGUAGCCAGCAUCCUGGAUGGCCCCAAAGGUACCCAGUAUGUGGUAUUCACAACACUGUGUAGCUGCCUCCUAUACUGAAUAGGAUUAACUUGUAUAGCAAUAAGGUACUGCGGAAAUGAUAGAGUAUGAGAUAGAUAUAAAAGACACUGUGGCUUCCAGCUUAUGCGUUCUUGCUGUCCUUUUGCUCUGGAGAAAACCAGUUGACGUAUCACAGGGACACUUAAGAAACCCCAUGGAGAGGUCUACAUGGUGAGAAACUGAAGUCUAUUGCCAAUAGCCAUGUGAGAGCCACGUUGGAAGGUGAUCCUCUAGUCCCUGUUAUGCCUUCAAAUGAUAGCAGCCCUGGCCAAGAGUGUGACUGCAACCUCAAGAGACCCCAAGCCAGAACUUCCCAGCUAAGCCACUCCUGAACUCCUGGUCCACAGAAAAUGGUGUUAAGAUAAUAAAUAUUUAUUUCUGUUUUAGGGUAAUAUGUUUUACAGCAAUAGAUAACUAAUAUAGAAAUGAAGGUUAGAGAAUAGAAAAUAGACUAGCUCAUUGAUUGCCUCAUUUGUGAUAACUGAGAGAUAAAGGGUGUCAUUUCAAGCUGAAAAUCAAGGGGAAGAAAUUUAGAAAUGUUUAGGACUACAGCCAAGGCAGGAGGACUGCCUUGAGGCCAGGAGUUUGAGGCCAGAUUAAGCAAAAGAAUGAGACCUUCUCUAAAAAAAAAAAAAAAAUGAAUACAAAUGUAAGUCAAACAGGGCAAAAUGUCAAUUAAAUUUCAACAUACAAGCAAAAAGUAGGAAAUUUAAAAUGACAGCACUUAGCAGGAAAAAUUCAAAUUCCUAUAAAUAAAUCUAACAAUAUAUGUAACAUACAAUAUCUUUUGUUUGUUGGUUUGUUUUUGAGACAGAGUCUCGCUCUGUCACCCAGGCUGGAGUGCAGUGGCACAAUCUCGGCUCACUGCAACUUCCGCCUCCCGGGUUCAAGUAAUUCUCCUGUCUCAGACUCCCGAGUAGCUGGGACUACAGGCACCAGCCAUCAUGCCCAGCUAAUUUUUGUAUUUUUAGUAGAGACAGAGUUUCACCAUAUUGGUCAGGCUGGUCUCGAACUCCUGACCUCAGGUGAUCCACCUGCCUCAGCCUCCCAAAGUGCUGGGAAUACAGGCAUGAGCCACCGCACCUGGCCUGUACAAUGUCUUUAUAUUAAUUACUACAAAUAGUUAAAGAAGACCUAAACAAAUGAAAUAAUUUAUCACAUUCAUGGGAUGAAAGGCUGAUAAUUUUCAAGGUGUCAGUUUCCCCAAUAUAGUGGUAUAGGAAGCUUAAAAGUAAAAGGAUAGCAAAAGAUAUACCAUGCAAAUCAUAAUCAAAAUAAUGCUUAGGUGGCUAUAAUAUCAAGACACCAUAGAUUUCAGAGCAAAUAAAUAACAUGGAAGAAAGGAUGGUCUUGAAUACAUGGUGCCAGGUCAACUGAAUUUAUAUGAGGAAAACAAAUCAUGAUUUCCCCUCACGACACAAAAAUCAAUUCCAGGUUUAUAUACCUACAUGUGACAGAUAAAUAUAGAUGAAAAUACAGAAUAUCUUCAUACCUUGGGGAUAAGCAAAGAUUUGAAUAAGAUACAGAGUACAAACCAUAAAAGAAAAAUGAUAAUGAUCAGACUACAUUUUAAAAAGCAAUUUUUGUUCAUCAGAAAAGAGUGAAUGGGCUGGUCAUGGUGGCUUAUGCCUGUAAUUCCAGCACUUUGGAAGGCUGAGGCGGGUGGAUCAUCUGAGGUCAGGAGUUCGAGACCAGCCUGACCAACAUGGAGAAACCUUGUCUCUUACUAAAAAUACAAAAUUAGCCAGACAUGGUGGCGCAUGCCUGUAAUCCCAGCUACUCAGGAGGCUGAGGCAUGAUAAUCACUUGAACCGGGGAGGCAGAGCUUGCGGUGAGCCGAGAUCGCACCAUUGCAUUCCAGCCUGGGCAACAAGAGCGAAACUCCAUCUCAAAAAAAAAAAAAAAAAAAAAAAAGACAGUGAGUAAAAAUGCAAACCUUACGCUAGGAGACGAUAUAUACAAUACACAAAGCUGACAAGGGACUCAUUCAGAUUAUACAAAGAACUCUUAAGGAUUAACAAUGAAAGACAAGUUUCCCAACAGCUAGGCUAAGAACUUGAACUGGCACUUCCCAAAGGAAGAUAUCCAAAUGGACAAUGCACAUUAAAACAAAGGUAUUCAAGUUCCUUAGUCAUCAGUUAGGAAAACCACAAUGCAAUACCACUACAUAUCCACCAUAUUGGCAAACAUUUUACAGUCUGACAAUGCCAUGUGUUAACAAGAAGAUGGAUCAAUUGGAACUUGCAUAAACUGUUGAUGGGAACUUUUAACUGGUUCAGCCAUUUUGGAAAACUGACAGUAUCUGCUUGAGGAGAUUCACAUACUCUUACUCACCAAUUCCUCUCCUUGGAAUAACCCAAUAGAAAUGCAUACAUGUAAACACAAAAUGACAAGUGCAAGAAUGCUCUCUUCCUGAUUAUUCAUGAGAAUAACGUAUUGUCUGUAUAUAUGAUAAACUUCAAUAAAAAGACUAGGAAGAAAUACAGCAUAUUACAAGGCAAAUACAAACAAAAAAAUAAGCAGAGGCCAUGAUCUUGAGCAUGCUAAAGCCUGCAAUUCAUAAUAAACAUAUAACAAUCAUUAAUAUCUGUAUAUCAAAGCAACAACAACUUUCAUAAAGCAAAAGUUACAGGUUAUAUAAAAUAAAAUUUUGGCUGUGCACGGUGGCUCACACCUGUAAUCCCAGCACUUUGGGAGGCCAAGGUGGGCAGAUCACAAGGUCAGGAGUUCAAGACCAGCCUGGCCAAUGUGGUGAAACCACGUGUCUACUAAAAAUACAAAAAAAAUUAGCCGGGCAUGUUGGCGCAUGCCUGUAGUCCCAGCUACUCAGGAGCCUGAGGCAGGAGAAUUGCUUGAACCAGAAGUUGCGGUAAGCCGAGAUCCCACCACUGCACUCCAGCCUGGGCGACAGAGGGAGACCCCGUCUCAAAAAAAAUAAAAUAAAAUAAAAUAAAAUUUCAUUAAUACACCUCUCUCAAUCCAAGACAAAUCAAGUGUAAGGCAAAAAGUAAGUAUAGACUGACCAGAUGUUAGAUCACAAAUAAAAGUUCACUAAGUUCCAAAGUUUAAAAAUAACACAAUAUAGCAAAACUGUAAAUUAUAUUAUUGGUGAAGUGGGGACCUAUGUACUUUACUGGAAGUCUUCAACAUAAUCAACAGAGGUUGAGGUCCCCUUAUGUCACAGGGAUCAAGACUCCUCCACAACACUGAGGCCAAGACACUACACCACUGUAUUAGUUUUCUACUGCCAUGAGGUAGUGGCUUAAAAUAAUACAAAUCUAUUAUCAUAUAGUUCAGUAGAAGUCUGAGUUGGGUCUUACUAGGCUAAAAUCAAGGUGUUGGUAGGGCUGUGUUCCUUUCUGGAAGCUCCAGGGGAGAAUUCGUUUUCUUAUGUUUUCCAGCUUCUAGAGGCCACCAACAUUCCUUGGCUUAAGGCCCACUUCCUCUAUCUAGUAAGCAAUGUGGCAUCUCUCUGACCAUUCUUCUGCGGUCACAUCUCCCUCUGACUUUAAACUCAGCCAGGAAAGGUUCACUGACUUUAAGGACCCAUGUCAUUAUAUUAGUCCAACAAGAUAAUCGCCCCCAUUUCAAGGUUCUUAACUUUAUCCCCUUUGCAAAGUCCUUUUUGCCAUAUAAAGUAGCAUCGUCCUAGUUUCCAGGGAUUAGGAAGUAAACAUUGGUUGCAGGGCCAUCAUUCUGCCUACCUUGACCCCCCUUCUAUCUUAAGCUUCCUUCUUUCUGAGAGAUACUCAGUGAAGGAAAUAAUGUAUACAGUGGUCCAUUUCCAAGACAAAAUGCCUUGAAUUGGCUUAGGUAAGCAAACUACAGAAGAAACAGGAUAUACUAGGCCCCUGCUUGGAUAGAUGAUGCCUGCUUGUCAGCCUCCCGCUUUCUCCCUUUCCCCCACUUAGUUGCCUUCACCCAAACCAAAGAAGUUUAGUCUAAGAUGAAAGUUUGCUAGCCUGCAAAAUAGCUCAUUUUGUCUGCUUUUAUCAGCCUGCCCAGCUGCUUAGGUCAUAAGUCAACUAUUGAAGAGACCUUGAGCUAACUAGGAUUGCAGUGCAUUGUGGGCCGCAACCAAAUGCAGCAAGACAAGCCUAAAAAAAAAACACACACACACACCGGCUGGGCGCGGUGGCUCACGCCUGUAAUCCCAGCAGUUUGGAAGGCCGAGGCGGGCGGAUCACAAAGUCAAGAGAUCGAGACCAUCCUGGCCGACACGGUGAAACCCCAUCUCUACUAAAAAUAGAAAAGUUAGCUGGGCGUGGUGGCACGCACCUGUAGUCCCAGCUACUCGGGAGGCUGAGGCAGGAGAAUCCACUUGAACCUGGGAGGCGGAGGUUGCAGUGAGCCGUGAUUGCACCACUGCACUCCAGCCUGGUGACAGAACAAGACUCUGUCUCACAAAAAUCAAAAAACAAAACACCUGAAGCCCCUACCCAACAAUCAAUAGGCAACAUCCGGGAAGAUUGUGACCCCAUAGUUAUCAGCCUAUGAGGAACCAGGGGAGGAACCUGUGCACUAGGGGAUAAAUUGCUUGUUGAAACUGUUGGGUGUGCCUAUCAGACACUGAUCUUGCAAGACCAUCAUUAAAAGUCUCACUUUUGCUGUUCUCCGGGUCUCUGAGUCCAUUCUUUGGGACGGGUAAGUUUGUUUCUCACACUCAAGAAAUCAUCUUUCACUAUCCCACGCUAUCUCUCCAAAACUGACUUGAAUCCAACCAGAAUAAAUGUCAAUCCAACCUUGUAUUUAUAUUUAUCUACUAUAAGAAGUCCCAGAAUUUCUAGUCAACUGUCUUUUCGGACAUUGUAUACCAUCAAGUCUCAUUUGUCCCCUUUUCUCAUUCUUCCCAACUUUCAACACUUUUCCUGUAUGCCUUCAUAAUGGAAUUCAUAAUUCAUUAACAACCAACUCCUCUUUUAUCUUCAACCACUUCCUUGAACACGCCCUAACAUUCUGAGUCUAACAGAAACUAGGCUGUAUCUGGAGGACUCUGCAGCCCUCUCAACAUUUCCCCAGCUACAGCCUCUUACCAGUGGGUCUGAAAAUGGAACAGAUGGCCGGCCUCCUUGUUGUUCACUACCUUCAGACCUUUCUUCCUCCCUCCACAAACUCUAGUUUUGAAUUUCCUGCCAUGAGAUUGUAUAUAACUCACCACAUCUCACUUUUGUUGACCUCUACCAAACACAGGGUAUUUUCCCCCUAUAUCUGAAAUCUUCAGCUCAUGGUUUACUCUCUGCAGCGCGAUUACCCUUUUCUAUUUUUUUUAAUUCUUGCAUUUUUAACUACACCCACACAGAUGAGCCUUGUUUACUUACCCUUGCCUGGACUUUUCCCCCCUCUCGUGGCUCAUUUCCAACAACAUGUUGAUGGGUG